UACAGAGGUCUCAAGCGUUGUUCGGAUUCAUUGGGCGUAAAGGGUGCGUAGGCGGCGCGGUAAGUCGGGUGUGAAAUUUCGAGGCUUAACUUCGAAACUGCAUUUGAUACUGCCGUGCUUGAGGACUGGAGAGGAGACUGGAAUUUACGGUGUAGCGGUGAAAUGCGUAGAUAUCAGGAGGAAUACCGAUGGCGAAGGCAGGUCUCUGGGCUGAAACUGACGCUCAUGCACGAAAGCGUGGGGAGCAAACAGG
rnacentral:rRNA from 1 species